UACGUAGGGGCCUAGCGUUGUCCGGAAUUAUUGGGCGUAAAGAGCUCGUAGGCGGCUUGUCACGUCGGGUGUGAAAGCCCGGGGCUUAACCCCGGGUCUGCAUUCGAUACGGGCUAGCUAGAGUGUGGUAGGGGAGAUCGGAAUUCCUGGUGUAGCGGUGAAAUGCGCAGAUAUCAGGAGGAACACCGGUGGCGAAGGCGGAUCUCUGGGCCAUUACUGACGCUGAGGAGCGAAAGCGUGGGGAGCGAACAGG
rnacentral:rRNA from 1 species